GACGUAGGGCGCGAGCGUUGUCCGGAUUUAUUGGGCGUAAAGAGCUCGUAGGCGGCUUGUCGCGUCGAAUGUGAAAUCUCGGGGCUCAACUCCGAGCUUGCAUUCGAUACGGGCAGGCUAGAGUUCGGUAGGGGAGACUGGAAUUCCUGGUGUAGCGGUGAAAUGCGCAGAUAUCAGGAAGAACACCCGUGGCGAAAGCGGCUCUCUGGAACGGUACUGACGCUGAGACGCGAAAGCGUGGGGAGCGAACAGG
rnacentral:rRNA from 1 species